UUGGUGGUCUGUGUUUCAGGGCAGAUUGUUUUGUAAAAAGGUCCUUCAGCAUUUAGAAUCAUAAAAUCAUAGGAACAUUUACUUGAGCUGGAAGCAGUGACAUGGAGGCCUCUUUUCUCAUUUAUAGAUGAUAAAACUGCAGCCUGAAAGCUUAAGUGAAAGUUCAGAAUAUCUAGGUCAAUUUUUUUAGAUGCCAGAUUUCUUGAAUCUCAACCCAUGCCUUUAGCGUUAUCACUUGACGGACCAUAAGGAAGAACUAUGUAAUGCCCAAUUUUGAAUUUAAUGAGUAAGGUAUUAGGGUAAUGCUAUCAGGUAUUAUCAGGACAAAUCUUUCUGUCAUGGAAAAUAACUUUGCACAGAACAAUAUCUUCUGAGCUGGUGUUAUCAUAGUUGGAAAUCUGAACAGCUUAAGCCGAACCAGUACUGCUCUCCCUGCUGAUUCCUACCAGAUCGGGGCCAUUGC
rnacentral:lncRNA from 10 species